GAGCGCAACGCAACGCCAGCUUCGGCUGGCACUGAAUGUACCUGCGGGGAAUUCAGGUAUCAGGGCCGCCCGUUGAGGCGGCCUUUUUACUUUCA
rnacentral:sRNA from 1 species